GAUGAACGCUGGCGGCGUGCCUAAUACAUGCAAGUCGAGCGAACAGACGAGGAGCUUGCUCCUCUGACGUUAGCGUCGGACGGGUGAGUAACACGUGGAUAACCUACCUAUAAGACUGGGAUAACUUCGGGAAACCGGAGCUAAUACCGGAUAAUAUAUUGAACCGCAUGGUUCAAUAGUGAAAGACGGUUUUGCUGUCACUUAUAGAUGGAUCCGCGCCGCAUUAGCUAGUUGGUAAGGUAACGGCUUACCAAGGCGACGAUGCGUAGCCGACCUGAGAGAGUGAUCGGCCACACUGGAACUGAGACACGGUCCAGACUCCUACGGGAGGCAGCAGUAGGGAAUCUUCCGCAAUGGGCGAAAGCCUGACGGAGCAACGCCGCGUGAGUGAUGAAGGUCUUCGGAUCGUAAAACUCUGUUAUUAGGGAAGAACAAAUGUGUAAGUAACUAUGCACGUCUUGACGGUACCUAAUCAGAAAGCCACGGCUAACUACGUG
rnacentral:rRNA from 1 species